rnacentral:rRNA from 1 species
ACAGCAGCAGCCACGGUAAUACGUAGGGUGCAAGCGUUAAUCGGAAUUACUGGGCGUAAAGCGUGCGCAGGCGGUUAUAUAAGACAGAUGUGAAAUCCCCGGGCUCAACCUGGGAACUGCAUUUGUGACUGUAUAGCUAGAGUACGGCAGAGGGGGAUGGAAUUCCGCGUGUAGCAGUGAAAUGCGUAGAUAUGCGGAGGAACACCGAUGGCGAAGGCAAUCCCCUGGGCCUGUACUGACGCUCAUGCACGAAAGCGUGGGGAGCAAACAGGAUUAGAUACCCCUGUAGUACCUGUCUCUUAUAA